rnacentral:rRNA from 1 species
CCUACGUGAGACAGCAGUGGGGAAUAUUGCGCAAUGGGCGAAAGCCUGACGCAGCGACGCCGCGUGAGGGAUGAAGGUCUUCGGAUCGUAAACCUCUGUCAGCAGGGAAGAACGGUCACUGUGCUAAUCAGCAGUGAAUUGACGGUACCUGCAAAGGAAGCACCGGCUAACUCCGUGCCAGCAGCCGCGGUAAUACGGAGGGUGCGAGCGUUAAUCGGAAUUACUGGGCGUAAAGCGCUCGUAGGCGGUAUGUCAAGUCAAGGGUGAAAUCCCCGCGCUCAACGUGGGAACUGCCUUUGAAACUAGCAAACUGGAGUGUGUGAGAGGAUAGUGGAAUUCCAGGGGUAGGAGUGAAAUCCGUAGAUAUCUGGAGGAACAUCAGUGGCGAAGGCGACUAUCUGGCACAUAACUGACGCUGAGGAGCGAAAGCGUGGGUAGCAAACAGGAUUAGAUACCCCUGUAGUC